AGGAGGAACAGCCCCAGUGGCGGGGCAGCUCUGGAAACCUGGAUUCCGCUCCGGCAGGAACUCCGGAGCUCUCCGUCUGCAGGGCCUGGAGGCUCCCGGGCGGG
rnacentral:pre_miRNA from 1 species